rnacentral:rRNA from 1 species
UACGAGGGGUCCUAGCGUUGUUCGGAAUUAUUGGGCGUAAAGCGCAUGUAGGCGGCGUUUCAAGUCAGAUGUGAAAUCCCAAGGCUUAACCUUGGACGUGCAUUUGAAACUGGAAUGCUUGAGUACGAUAGAGGAUAGUGGAAUUCCUGGUGUAGUGGUGAAAUACGUAGAUAUCAGGAGGAACAUCGGUGGCGAAGGCGGCUAUCUGGAUCGAUACUGACGCUGAGAUGCGAAAGCGUGGGGAUCAAACAGG